rnacentral:rRNA from 1 species
GGUCUGGCCGGACGGUCUGCCUAACGGCACGUACUGGCUGGCCGGGCCUUACUUCCUGGUGAGCCGGCAUGUCCUUCGCUGGGUGUGUCGGGGAACCAGGACCGUUACCUUGAAAAAAUUAGAGUGUUCAAAGCAGGCUCGUGCCUGAAUACGUUAGCAUGGAAUAAUAGAAUAGGACGU